GGUUUAAUUCGAUGCAACGCGAAGAACCUUACCUACUCUUGACAUCCAGAGAAGCUUGAAGAGAUUCGAGUGUGCCUUCGGGAACUCUGAGACAGGUGCUGCAUGGCUGUCGUCAGCUCGUGUUGUGAAAUGUUGGGUUAAGUCCCGCAACGAGCGCAACCCUUAUCCUUGUUUGCCAGCACUUCGGGUGGGAACUCCAGGGAGACUGCCGGUGAUAAACCGGAGGAAGGUGGGGACGACGUCAAGUCAUCAUGGCCCUUACGAGUAGGGCU
rnacentral:rRNA from 1 species